UACGUAGGGCGCAAGCGUUGUCCGGAAUUAUUGGGCGUAAAGAGCUCGUAGGCGGCCUGUUGCGUCCGCUGUGAAAUCCCGGGGCUCAACCCCGGGCCUGCAGUGGAUACGGGCUGGCUAGAGGCAGGCAGGGGAGAACGGAAUUCCUGGUGUAGCGGUGAAAUUCGUAGAUAUUCGGAAGAACACCAGUGGCGAAGGCGACUCACUGGACACGUAUUGACGCUGAGGUGCGAAAGCGUGGGGAGCAAACAGG
rnacentral:rRNA from 1 species